AUUGAACGCUGGCGGCAUGCUUUACACAUGCAAGUCGAACGGCAGCGCGGGCUUCGGCCUGGCGGCGAGUGGCGAGCGGGCGAGUAAUGCAUCGGAACGUGCCCAGUAGUGGGGGAUAGCCCGGCGAAAGCCGGAUUAAUACCGCAUACGACCUGAGGGUGAAAGCGGGGGACCGAAAGGUCUCGCGCUAUUGGAGCGGCCGAUGUCGGAUUAGCUAGUUGGUGGGGUAAAGGCUUACCAAGGCGACGAUCCGUAGCUGGUCUGAGAGGACGACCAGCCACACUGGGACUGAGACACGGCCCAGACUCCUACGGGAGGCAGCAGUGGGGAAUUUUGGACAAUGGGGGCAACCCUGAUCCAGCCAUGCCGCGUGCGGGAAGAAGGCCUUCGGGUUGUAAACCGCUUUUGUUCGGGAAGAAAUCCUCUGGGCUAAUACCCCGGGGUGAUGACGGUACCGGAAGAAUAAGCACCGGCUAACUACGUG
rnacentral:rRNA from 1 species